UGUGGAGCGAACGCAGACGAUGCGGACCACACCCUGGUCGACUGCCCUGCGUGGAUGGAUGAGCGGGACGGUCUUGUUAGGGACUUGGGGGGGAGUGCAUGUCUCCCUCUCCGACAUAGUCAGGGCAUCCAUGGAUAUGCCGGGGGGGUGGGCUGCAUUCCGGUCCUUUGCAGGACGCGUGAUGCGUGCAAAGGAGAGUGCCGAGAGAGAGAGAGAAUGGGCGAAUGGGAGAGGGUUGCGUGCGAGGCCGCAGAGGAGACUCGCUCCUAGGCGGCCCCCUCGGGCGAGGCUUCACGUGACUCGGGCGGCGAAUGGCUGACGCCUGUGCGUCGCUUCCCCCUCAUGGAGUGUAAGUAUGGUAUGAGAGUGGAGUGGGCCUGACCAGAACACCGUUUAAUGUAAGGUCAGGCCAGGAGUAGGUGAGUAACUUGCGCCUCCAGUGGGGUUCGUACCCAACUGUUGAGUGCGCCUAGGUGUGGGAGAUAGCGCCUUCGGGGAGGAAACUCUACUGUCGAGAGCGCCGGAUGCAGGAGUUAUGGGUGUGAGUGUGAGUGUUGGAGAAAGCGUGGCGAAUUUCCGGCCGGGCUUGUUAGGGGAGAGGCACAUAGGUAUUGGAUUGUACUCAUCGUGCGUUGCGCCUGCCUCCUCCCCUCGCGGGAGAAUAAGUUUCAGGAGGGUUUUUUAGUCAGUAAGAAUCUGACACUCCCUUGGACACCGGGCCCAGGGGGCCUAUGAAGGUUUUUCCCUCAUGACGUAAAAAAAAAAAAAAAAAAAAACAAGGGUUGCGUCAGGGUUGCGUAAGGUAGGGUAAAUAGUAUCGACGAUACAAAUAAAAAACUUAUUAUAUUCUUACAAGUAAUGUAUAUAAACAAAAAAUAUUCUAAAACUCGUGAAUUUACAGCCACGACCUAUGAUGGUAGGGACCUAUGAUGCCAAUUAGAGGACAAGUUCUUAUGCCCACAUGCAGCAGAUUACAUCCUUUAUUAAUAGGACCCAUAAGACCAUUUCCACCAUGUUUCAUGCCACCCAAUGUAUUUAGACUAGGUCCGCCAUCCAAUUAUAGGUUUGGACCAAUGCUUUAACAGGAUUUAUUGUUAGGAGAAAAUUUUCUAACAAUUUUAUAUUUACUAAAUACAAGUAUUUUAUCAUAUGCAACUUAUGUAAUCUAUUAAAAAAAAAACGUGUUACGUUAAAAUAACGUAGUAUAGAUAUUGUUCGAUGAAAUAAAAUCAUUUACAUUAAAUUACGGAAAAUAAUGAAUUUGAAAUAAAGCGCUUUUUUAAGCGAGCUAAUCAUA